rnacentral:rRNA from 1 species
GGUCUUUUGUUUAUAUAAAAGAUCUGGCCUGCUCUAUGAUUUAAAUUUAUUAAAUGGCUGCAGUAUUUUGACUGUACAAAGGUAGCAUAAUCAUUUGUCUUUUAAUUGGAGGCUGGUAUGAAGGGUUGGAUGAAAAAUAUACUUUCUUUUUUUUAUAUAAAAAAUUUUAUUUUUCAGUUAAAAAGCUGAAAUAUUAUUAUAGGACGAGAAGACCCUAUAGAACUUUAUUAUUAUUAUGAUAUAAUUUUUUUUGUUUAUUACAAAAUUAUAUCAUUUUAUUAAUUUUGUUGGGGUGAUAGAAAAAAAUUUGUAACUUUUUUUGUUUAUUACAUUUAUUUAUGUUUUUUUGAUCCUUUAUUAUGGAUAAUAAGAUUAAGUUACCUUAGGGAUAACAGCGUUAUUUUUUCGGAGAGUUCUUAUUGAUGGAAAAGUUUGCGACCUCGAUGUUGGAUUAAAAUAAGUAGUGGGGGUAGCAUAUCAUAUACUAGGUCUGUUCGACCUUUAAAUUUUUACA